rnacentral:rRNA from 1 species
GGAUUAGGCAUGCAAGUCGAACGAGCACUUUCGGGUGCUAGUGGCGGACGGGUGAGUAAUGCAUAGACAACCUGCCCUUGAGAUGGGAAUAACUCUCUGAAAGGAGGGCUAAUACCCAAUAACGUUCGGGUUCGUAUGGGCCCGAACCAAAGAUAGCCUCUGUUUUCAUGCUUUCACUCAAGGAGGGGUUUAUGUCCUAUUAGCUUGUUGGUGAGGUAACGGCUCACCAAGGCAACGAUGGGUAGCCGACCUGAGAGGGUGACCGGCCACACUGGGACUGAGACACUGCCCAGACUCCUACGGGAGGCUGCAGUCGAGAAUCUUCCGCAAUGCGCGCAAGCGUGACGGAGCGACGCCGCGUGGGUGAUGAAGGCCUUCGGGUUGUAAAGCCCUGUCAACUACUAUGAACCACGGGCGGUGAAUAGCCGUCCCGUCUGACGUAAGUAGAGAAGGAAGCACCGGCUAAAUACGUGCCAGCAGCCGCGGUAAUACGUAUGGUGCGAACGUUGUUCGGAUUCACUGGGCAUAAAGAGCGCGUAGGCGGUGCGGUAAGUCCGAUGUGAAAUCCCCCGGCUCAACCGGGGAACUGCAUCGGAAACUGCCGGACUGGAGUGCAGGAGGGGAGAGUGGAAUUCCUGGUGGAGCGGUGAAAUGCGUAGAUAUCAGGAGGAACGCCGGUGGCGAAAGCGACUCUCUGGUCUGCAACUGACGCUGAGGCGCGAAAGCUAGGGGAGCAAACGGGAUUAGAUACCCCGGUAGUCCUAGCCCUAAACGAUGGGCACUAAGUAGAGGGGUUUU